GACGAACGCUGGCGGCGUGCUUAACACAUGCAAGUCGAACGGUGACCCAGGGCUUGCCCUGGUGAUCAGUGGCGAACGGGUGAGUAACACGUGGGCAACCUGCCCCUGACUUCGGGAUAACUCCUCGAAAGAGGAGCUAAUACCGGAUACGACCACUUCGGACAUCCGAUGGUGGUGGAAAGUUUUUCGGUCAGGGAUGGGCCCGCGGCCUAUCAGCUAGUUGGUGGGGUAAUGGCCUACCAAGGCGACGACGGGUAGCCGGCCUGAGAGGGCGACCGGCCACACUGGGACUGAGGACACGGCCCAGACUCCUACGGGAGGCAGCAGUGGGGAAUAUGCGCAAUGGGCGAAAGCCUGACGCAGCGACGCCGCGUGAGGGAUGAAGGCUCGG
rnacentral:rRNA from 1 species